rnacentral:rRNA from 1 species
ACGGGAGGCAGCAGUGGGGAAUAUUGCACAAUGGGGGAAACCCUGAUGCAGCGACGCCGCGUGAGCGAAGAAGUAUUUCGGUAUGUAAAACUCUAUCAGCAGGGAAGAUAAUGACGGUACCUGACUAAGAAGCACCGGCUAAAUACGUGCCAGCAGCCGCGGUAGUACGUAUGGUGCAAGCGUUAUCCGGAUUUACUGGGUGUAAAGGGAGCGUAGACGGCAUGGCAAGCCAGAUGUGAAAGGCAGGGGCUCAACUCCUGGACUGCAUUUGGAACUGUCAAGCUAGAGUAUCGGAGAGGUAAGUGGAAUUCCUAGUGUAGCGGUGAAAUGCGUAGAUAUUAGGAGGAACACCAGUGGCGAAGGCGGCUUACUGGACUGUAACUGACGUUGAGGCUCGAAAGCGUGGGGAGCAAACAGGAUUAGAUACCCUGGUA